AUGUCAUGGAAUAAUCUGUUGUUCCGUUUGGAUUCGAUUAACCCGACACAAGGUCGUGAUGUGUUUCGCUGGAACCUUACUACAUUAGGGUCUUUCACAGUAGACUCUAUGUAUCGUGGACUCAUGCAUUCUUAGGUACCAAUGAAUAAUAACAAAAAUUGGAAAGUGAAGGUACCACUUAAAGUUAAAAUAUCCAUGUGGUAUCUUCGUAGGGGAGUUAUGCUAACAAAAGACAACCUCGCACGACGCAACUGGUUGGGAAGUAAGAAGUGUUGUUUUUGUACUCAUGAUGAGACAAUUAAACACCUCUUUUUCCAAUGUAAGUUUGCGCGUUCUACGUGGCCAGCCAUCCAAAUAGCAUCAAAUUUAUAUCCGCCCACAAGUGUUGCCAAUAUUUUUGGUCAUUGA
rnacentral:rRNA from 1 species